UUCUACGUUUCUCUCCUUCCUUGCCUUGCCACCCCUUCCAUCUCAACUCAGAUUCUAACCGUUAGUUUCUCAAAUUGAAGCUACAUAAGCAUUCAGGACUCCAAGAGCUACGUUUCUACCGAUUGAUUUUCCGUUUCAUCCAACCGGUGAUUCUCACACUUUGGGUUCAAAGUACUUGGUCUAUGAUCAUUCCUUGAGUUGGCCGUGCACCCUAGAGUAGGUGAUGAGGUACCCUUGGAGCAGGCAUGGGAGACUGAGGAAGAUUCAGCCCCUAGUACUUAGGGCGUUUAUUAGUUCUUAUUUCUAUAGCUUGUUAAUUUUUGGAAACACUCUCUAGGCAUCCUUCGAUCUUUAGUUUAUUUUGUAUUUUGGAGAACUUUGGGGAACUUGUACUCAAGUUUUAUUUCGUUUUAAUUUCCACUAAAUUUCGGAUGACUGUAUAAAUAUUUAAAUACUGUCAUCUUUAUUUCUUAACUGCUUUCACAUAUUGUCA